rnacentral:RNase_P_RNA from 2 species
GGACCGGGUUAGGCAGCUGCUCUAGAGCCGUUUUGUGGAUUGGGCUAAAACAAUUGCUUUGCGAUUGUUCGCCCGAACACGCGAAGCGUGUUUUAGGGAGGAAAGUCCGAACACCAUCCUGCCUAUGGCGGGAUAAAACGGUAGCGGGUAAUUCCCGUCGUCCGCGAGGAUAGAGUUGCGAACAGAGACGAGUCCUUGAUGAGUCCGGGUUUACCCCGAGCUUGUCGAGGGGUGAAACGGCAAAAUGCUUACUGGGGUGCAAGGCCGUGUCCCGCCUGUUCUCCAAGAACAGGCGGGAAGUGCCGCUCGAUCCCGCUAGCAAUAGCUGGACCAGAUAAAUAGCUGCCGCCAAUUUUGCCUGCCGCAGGCAGCUGCACAAAUUGAGCGUCCUGAGCGAAGCGAAGGGCCAAUCCCUCGACAGACUCGGGAUGCACGAUUCUGCAGCCACCUCCGGUGGGCAGAAUCGGCACAGAAUUCGGCUUAUCGACCCGGUCCGAAC